UUAUUAUUCAUUCAAAACACGAGUGAUCAGGCUAUAAUUUUAUGUAUCAUGGUAUAUGUUGCAACUACGCGUUGAAAUAAAACGUUAGAGAAAGAUAAAAUCGCUGAAAAUGAACACAUUUCUCACGCCUAUAAUGAUGGCACGUAACGCCUACCCACUCCCCGCUCAUGAGAUCCAUAAUGGUGCUUCUUUUCAAAAACACAAACCAUCGUCGCUCAGAUGUUUUCAUAUAAAUGCGCGAUCAAUUAAGAACAACUCUUCCAGACAGCUUUUCUUUUGAUGUGAUCAUGGUAUCAAAAUGAGCAAGCUGGUAUGCAUUCGUCUUUCGGCUCUUGCAGCGCUCGCAAAGAGGUGCACGUCCAGUGCGCUUUGUCCCUGUCUUUGUGCAAGAACUGAAUUAUUAUGGUACUACUUGGUUAACUGACACAUUUGCACUACCUUGUUUUUCCACAUUCGCUUUAAAUUGCAACACAUGUUGAGGUGGUGAUGUAUGCAUGCUUAUAAACAAAAACCUUGAUUGUGAAGUGUUGAGUGUAUUAGGCCAAAUGAUGUUGAAAUAUAAGGAACAAUGUUGCUUUAUCUGUAUUCUAUAGGCUGUUGUCAGGUGACAUAUCCUUGAUGCAAUGGAAUCAUACCUCGUAAACUGACUUGCCAUCCCGGCCCUGCAAAAGUCCAGCCAAGCUGUUGAAAACCACCACUACAACUGGGAUGCUUUAGAGUAAUGGUAAUUUUGGCAGUGGUCGCUGCUCCUCGGGAGUCGUAAGUAUGCAUUUAACACCCAUAGCGGUGCUACAACAAUGAAAUCAGUUGCCAGGCUGGUUCUUUUAUAUACGAAAGGCUAGAGACAAGCUGCCGCCACUGUGGCAGCCCGCGCAACAGUAACCUUUACCGGGAAACGUAUGCGGGGAGCGCCUUAUCAUCAAUGCUUGCUUUGUGCUUGCUCUUUGUUGAAAUGAUAGCUGUAUGCUGCAUGUGUGAUUCCAAAGAAUGUACGCACUUUUUGCUUCACUUUGCCGAGUGCUGGAAGCCUUACGGGGGUACGAGCCACUGCACUUCCGCUGAGAUUGGCCCACAUUUUUGCUCACAGACGCAGACACGAAAAAUGAUGACCACCGAGAGGCUUUGCUGUAAAAGUAUGACAUCCUCAUAGGUGGCGAUUUCAACAUAGGUAUGUCACGCGAAACAUCAACUAGCGUCAAUUUUGCCAUUUUGAUUAGGUGCGUUGGCAUUAAUAACAUGAACACUGUAGCGAUAUCAUUGCAUCGUAUCCUGCACGUGCAUUGAUUUAUUCUUGACAAAUAUUGACCGUGAAGUUAUUCACGAAGGGGUAACCUGCUGUGAUAUAAGUGACCCCAUAUGGGGAUUUAUCUGUUUCUCCCAAAAAUUCUCUCAAAAUGUCAAGAGUCACACAUCUAGCGUAGUGUUUAACCGAAAGUUCUCAAGAGAAAUUUCAUACCAAUAUCCUUCGUGUUAACUGGACGUUUUUUUUGUUUGUUUUUUUUUUUGAA